UUGGAUCCGUGAGUAAAAUGGGUGACGUGGGCAAAAGUGGAAGAGAGUAUCCAAAUAGGCAGUGGCGAAUGCAAUCUAAGCACCUCAGCAAUGGCGUCGGCGCCUGCUUAUUCCUUUCUCCAUUGAUCGAUCACUAAUUGAUGAGACGAUGCCGAUGCGUUGUUGUUGUGGAUUAGGAUCUCGCCGCUGGAUUUCCAACUACGACAAGCUCCAUCGCUUAGCCCUCUUCCUCAUCUACGCUCAGAUUGGCUGCUCUCUCCUCGGAUCGCUCUCCCCUCUCUACAAUGGCGUCCUCAUCCUCCAUUUAGGGGUUUCUCUCUUCGGCCUCGUCGCCGUCGAGAGCAGCAAUCAGAGCCUCGCUCGCACCUACGCCUUCCUCCUCUUCUGCUCCUUCUUCCUCGACCUCUCCUGGUUCUUCCUUUUCUCUCACCAAAUCUGCCAUUUUCCUUCUGGUGUGUACGGAACCUUAGCUGCCUACGCGGUGAAGCUGACUCUGGUUGUGCAGAUCGCCGGAGUUUCAGUGAGGUUGUUAUCAUCCUUCUUAUGGAUUCAGAUUUACAGGCAGGGCGUUUCUAGCGUGGACGGCUCAGCCGCCAGAGAUGCGGAUUCCGAUUUGAGAUUUAAUUGCCUCAACUCGGCUACUCAUGUUGUUCGACAUCCCUACGAUGUGAUUGACGAUGCGUAUGAUCCUGCUAAUUUCCUGCCUCUUUUUGGAGAUCGCGCCAGGGAUGACUCCUCUCGAUAUGGGAGAUGAUGUGAUUCUCUUCUAAGCAUGAAGACAUUUUUCUUAUGAAUGAGAUGCAGAACAUAAACCUUAGUCCGUGGACUCAGCAUGGUGAUCUUUGACAUUUACAAGUCUAUGUAGUCUGAAGUAGUUUAAUUUGUGUUUAUAGUGUCUAAGAGGAUGCCUGGGUGUGGGGGUUUGGGAAGAGGGAAUAGGAGUAAGAGAUAAAUGGGUGACUAGAAUUUCCAGAAUCACUUCAUUCUCCACCACCAUUAUACAAUAAUUCGUUCUCAUUCCUCUUAAAGUAUACUGUUGGUUCGAGAUUGAGAUGUGAGACACGAUAUACUAGCAGCAAUAUAGUUUUCCCAUCAGCUUAAGCUGCUUGCUUCACUAGAUCAGGAGCUGGAGACAAUGCAGCUCCGUUACAAACAUAAUGGUACAGAACGAAGCUUAUUUUUGUUAUGGCAGGCUAUUCAAAACGGCGACUCAUCUGUAGGAGACUCUGCUGGAACUUCUCAGCUGCAUUCAUACAAAAGUUCUGAUGUUUUCAUGUUAAGAUAAUGAUGAGAAAUGCUUGAGAUGGUUAGAAAUAAUGGUGAUGGUUACUUUCUCCGUUCAUUCCAUCCUCAUAUUUUUUUAUUUUUUCAUUCAAUUAAAGAGGGGUAAGUGUAGUGUAUAUGUUUUUUUCUAUGCAUGGCAAUAUUUUUCUUUUUUUA